CGAGAUCUACCGCGUCCUCAAUGGAGUCGACCUGCCCCCCAUGUCUUUGAUGUUAGAGCUUUGGCGUGAUAAGCACAUUGAGUUUUUAACAAAAGGACUCGGGAAACUUGGGCCAAGCUACAAUGUUCUAGAUGCCAAUCGACCUUGGCUUUGUUACUGGAUCAUGCACUCAAUUGCUUUGCUAGGAGAAUCUCUGGACUUGGAGCUUGAGGAACACCUUAUGAGCA